GACGAACGCUGGCGGCGUGCUUAACACAUGCAAGUCGAACGGACCUUCUGAUCCUUUGGUUGGUUGGUUAGUGGCGAACGGGUGAGUAACACGUGAGUAACCUGCCCUUCUCUUCGGGAUAACUGUCGGAAACGGUGGCUAAUACCGGAUAUUCAUAUGCUGUCGCAUGGUGGGGUGUGGAAAGAUUUUUUGGUGGGGGAUGGACUCGCGGCCUAUCAGCUUGUUGGUGAGGUAGUGGCUUACCAAGGCUUUGACGGGUAGCCGGCCUGAGAGGGCGACCGGCCACACUGGGACUGAGAUACGGCCCAGACUCCUACGGGAGGCAGCAGUGGGGAAUAUUGCACAAUGGGCGGAAGCCUGAUGCAGCGACGCCGUGUGCGGGAUGACGGCCUUCGGGUUGUAAACCGCUUUCAACUGUGACGAAUUUGACGGUAGCAGUAGAAGAAGCACCGGCUAACUACGUGCCAGCAGCCGCGGUAA
rnacentral:rRNA from 1 species